rnacentral:tRNA from 1 species
GGAGGGGUGGCCGAGCGGUCGAAGGCGCACGCCUGGAAAGCGUGUGUGCGGGACCCCCGCACCGAGGGUUCGAAUCCCUCCCCCUCCG